rnacentral:rRNA from 1 species
CGAACGGGGCAAUUGAAAGCUUGCUUUUAAAAGCCUAGUGGCAAACGGGUGAGUAACGCGUAGGCAACCUGCCUCUAAGAUGGGGACAACAGAGCGAAAGUUCUGCUAAUACCGAAUUGUUGUGUAUUUCCCGCAUGAGAGAUACAUUAAAGAUGGCCUCUAUUUAUAAGCUAUCACUUAGAGAUGGGCCUGCGUCUGAUUAGCUAGUUGGUGAGGUAACGGCUUACCAAGGCGACGAUCAGUAGCCGGUCUGAGAGGAUGAACGGCCACAUUGGGACUGAGACACGGCCCAGACUCCUACGGGAGGCAGCAGUGGGGAAUCUUCCGCAAUGGGCGCAAGCCUGACGGAGCAACGCCGCGUGAGUGAAGAAGGUCUUCGGAUCGUAAAGCUCUGUUGUCGGGGACGAACGGUGCAAAUAUGAAUAAUGUUUGUAAAUGACGGUACCUGACGAGGAAGCCACGGCUAACUACGUGCCAGCAGCCGCGGUAAUACGUAGGUGGCUAGCGUUGUCCGGAAUUAUUGGGCGUAAAGGGAGCGCAGGCGGGAAGGUAAGUCGGUCUUAAAAGUGCGGGGCUCAACCCCGUGAGGGGAUCGAAACUAUCUUUCUUGAGUGCAGGAGAGGAAAGCGGAAUUCCCAGUGUAGCGGUGAAAUGCGUAGAUAUUGGGAGGAACACCAGUGGCGAAGGCGGCUUUCUGGACUGUAACUGACGCUGAGGCUCGAAAGCCAGGGGAGCGAACGGGAUUAGAUACCCCGGUAGUCCUAGCCGUAAACGAUGAAUACUAGGUGUAGGAGGUAUCGACCCCUUCUGUGCCGGAGUUAACGCAAUAAGUAUUCCGCCUGGGGAGUACGGUCGCAAGACUGAAACUCAAAGGAAUUGACGGGGGCCCGCACAAGCGGUGGAGUAUGUGGUUUAAUUCGACGCAACGCGAAGAACCUUACCAGGUCUUGACAUUGAGUGAAAAGCAUAGAGAUAUGCUCCUCUCUUCGAGACACGAA